rnacentral:rRNA from 1 species
GGAUGGUCAGCCACACUUGGACUGAAAUACGGCCCAGACUCCUACGGGAGGCAGCAGUGGGGAAUUUUGCGCAAUGGGGGAAACCCUGACGCAGCGACGCCGCGUGAGUGAAGAAGUCUUUCGGGAUGUAAAGCUCUGUCAAGGGGGACGAUAAUGACGGUACCCCUGGAGGAAGCCCCGGCAAACUACGUGCCAGCAGCCGCGGUAAUACGUAGGGGGCAAGCGUUAUCCGGAUUUACUGGGCAUAAAGCGCAUGCAGGUGGUAAUGUAAGUCAGAUGUUAAAGCCUCCGGCUCAACCGGAGUUCGCAUUUGAUACUGCGUUACUAGAGAUCGGUAGAGGGAAAUGGAACUUAUAGUGUAGCGGUGAAAUGCGUAGAUAUUAUAAGGAACACCAGUUGCGAAGGCGAUUUCCUGGACCGAAUCUGACACCAAGAUGCGAAAGCGUGGGGAGCAAACGGGAUUAGAUACCCCGGUAGUCCACGCUGUAAACGUUGUUCACUAGGUGUUAGAGGUAUCGACCCCUUUAGUGCCACAGAUAAUUCGUUAAGUGAACCGCCUGGGAAGUACGACCGCAAGGUUAAAACUCAAAGGAAUUGACGGGGGCCCACACAAGCAGUGGAGCAUGUGGUUUAAUUCGACGAUACGCGAAAAACCUUACCAGGGCUUGAUAUCUGCAGAAUUUUCUUGAAAGAGAGAAGUGCCCGCAAGGGAGCUGCAAGACAGGUGGUGCAUGGCUGUCGUCAGCUCGUGUCGUGAGAUGUUGGGUUAAGUCCCGCAACGAGCGCAACCCCUAUCCUAUGUUGCCAGCACGAAAGGUGGGAACUCAUAGGAGACUGCCCGUAAAAAGCGGGAGGAAGGUGGGGAUGACGUCAAGUCAUCAUGCCCCUUACGCCCUGGGCUACACACAUGCUACAAUGGCCGGUACAAUGGGUCGCGAAGCCGCAAGGUGGAGCCAAUCUCAAAAAACCGGCCCCAGUUCAGAUUGUGGUCUGCAACUCGACCAUAUGAAGUCGGAAUUGCUAGUAAACGCAGAUCAGCACGCUGCGUUGAAUACGUUCCCGGGCCUUGUACACACCGCCCGUCACACCAUGAGAGUUGAGAACACCCGAAGCCAAUAGGCUAACCGCAAGGAGGCAGUUGUCCAAGGUGGGCUCAGCGAUUGGGGUGAAGUCGUAGCAAGGUAGCCGUACCGGAAGGUGUGGCUG